CGAGUAAAGGACUCUCUCUCAGAGAAACACAGUGUGAGAUCAGGAUCAUGUGUGUCCAGCUCUGUGUCUCUAAAGAGUGACCAGUCAAAAGAUCAUCCACCAUACUUCAGAGAGGAAACACCAUCAUCUGCUGAAAGUGUUGAAUAUGAGUCUGCAGAUCCAGGAGACGAGACUCAC